CUCGUGGCCCGAUAACAAGAUGCAGAUGAACUGGGGAGGAAGAGAGUUUUUAUUUCUGUAACCGGUUACAGGGAGAAGACCUGGAAAACACUGCUAGACCAACUCAAAAUUACAAAGUUUUCCAGAGCUUAUAUGUCUUCUAAGCCAUAUGUCUAUGUGUAAGUAUGCAUUCAUCUAAAGACAUAAGUGAUUAACUUCUUUUAAUCUGUAACUAAGAUCUGAGUUCUGAAGACCUUCCUCUGGAGCCUGAGUAAAUUUACUUAAUCUAAAUGGGUCCAGGUUCCGGGGUGAUUACCCUUAUCUUGUCUCCUGCUAAAUCAUGGAGGAUUGGGAAGUUCCUUCAGACCCCAGUAAACUUGUUUGUGGAGGCCUGGGGAGUUUCUUCAGACCCCCAAUAAAACUUGCUUAAUCCUAAAUGUAUCCUGUUAAGAAUUCCUUCAUUAUCUUGUCAUGUUUCAAGGCCAGGAAAGGCUUAGGCAAAACUCUUGGUGGGCUUCUGUUACAGCCCAGCCUUUGCAUAAGGUCACUGGCCCUUUCAGCUUUUAAUAUUUAACUUAAUCAGUCAGUGCUGAAACAGUUGUUAUGAAGGCCCGCAUUAGUGAGACCUGGCCUGCCACACUUGGACUUCCUGUUUUAUCUUAAAUAUCCGCUUUCUUAAAUAACCAGUCAUUUUAUUUUGGGACAAAAAAUUUACCAUACAAAUUCUUUCUCAUAUAAAAUUAUUUUCCUUUUAACCUUUAUUAUCUUUUGCCUUGUUUCAUAAAUAACCUUUGAAUUAGAAAUUAUUUCCCUUUAAUAAGAACAUUUUUUAAAGAAAAAUGUUUGCUUGCUAUAAUAUAAUUUUUAAAAAUCAGGUAACAAUACAAAAGCAAGCAGUUUAAGAUCAGAGGGAACCUGUCUGUUUAUAUUCUUGGGGUUCCAUAUGGAAGAACAGAGAUUUCUCCCCAGAAAGGAGUCUGGUGCCUUCUCUCUUUUCUUUAAGGAAUCCCAGGCUGUUAGAAAUUAUUUAGAUCCUUCAUGCAGCAGAGAGUGGCAAGAGGAAGGAGAGACAGGCCAAAGUAAUUUGAGGAAACAGAACUCAGUCAACUGAGAAGCAAAAAACUUUUUCUCAAAAAACAAGAUCCUAGGACAGAGAAAAAGCAUAAAGGCCUUAUAUUCAUACACACACAUCUUGGAUAUUAGCUUUUAAUUAAGCUGAGUUUUAACCACUGAGCUCUUAAAAAUCCUUUUAAAUCUCUUUUAACCAUGUUUUAGCUGGGACAACCUGCUGAUAUUUCAAAAGUACUAAUAACACAAAAUUUAAGCCAGAAAGGACCUGAUUCAGGAACCAAACCCAGGCUGCUAUGGUGAAAGCAGGCAGAACCUUUAGCUACUGAACUACGCUGCGGGGCAGCCACCAUAGUUCUUUCAGUUUGGGCUUGGCUGGCGAAAGAUGGCCUUGUUAUGUAAACAAAGCCCCUCAGGUAGUCAAAAUCUUUCUUUUCUUCCUUUUGCUGGCUUUUUUAUUUUUUUUUUCCAGCUGCAGGAAUGUAGACAAUUCAGAGGCUUUGUUCCCCAUAAUUUGGAACUUUUCUUCAGAUUUGACCAAGUCGGGUAGAGAUGAUCAAACCUAAUGGGAAAAAGACUGAAACAACAAAAACAGAAACAGGCAAACACAACCAGACCCCCCCCCAAUCGUAAAGAGAUUAACUAAGAUCUGAAUAGGAAACAUUUGUCAUCUAUUGUCCCUAAGGGCAGCCACCAUAAGACUUCCAGAGAACUUUGGUCUCCACAAUCUUUUAUCUUAACCCGAACAUUCCUUUUCUAUCAAUCCCGGGUCUUUAGGCAAACUCAACCAAUUGUCAACCAGAAGAUGUUUAAAUUCACCUAUAGCCUGGAAGCACACCCCACCCUAUCCCGUUUUUGAGUUGUCCCGCCUUUCUGGACCAAACCAAUGUAUUUCCUAAAUGUAUUUGAUUGAUGUCUCAUGCUUCUCUAAAAUGUAUACAACCAAGCCGUGCCCUGACCACCUGGGGCACAUGUUCUCAGGACCUCCUGAGGGCUGUGUCACAGGCCACGGUCACUCGGCUCAGAAUAAAUCUCUUCAAUUAUGUAAGAGUUCAACUCUUUUUGUCGACAUAUGGUAUGGAUUUGUGUGUAUACUUCUUCCCCAG
rnacentral:lncRNA from 10 species